GACUUCUAUGAUGGUCUAAGUGGUUAGAACGUCAGCCUUGGAUGUAGAAGGUUACAGGUUCAAAACCCGGCCAAGUCA